rnacentral:rRNA from 1 species
GUGGGGAAUAUUGGACAAUGGGCGAAAGCCUGAUCCAGCCAUGCCGCGUGUGUGAAGAAGGUCUUCGGAUUGUAAAGCACUUUAAGUUGGGAGGAAGGGCAGUAAGUUAAUACCUUGCUGUUUUGACGUUACUGACAGAAUAAGCACCGGCUAACUCUGUGCCAGCAGCCGCGGUAAUACAGAGGGUGCAAGCGUUAAUCGGAAUUACUGGGCGUAAAGCGCGCGUAGGUGGUUCGUUAAGUUGGAUGUGAAAGCCCCGGGCUCAACCUGGGAACUGCAUCCAAAACUGGCGAGCUAGAGUACGGUAGAGGGUGGUGGAAUUUCCUGUGUAGCGGUGAAAUGCGUAGAUAUAGGAAGGAACACCAGUGGCGAAGGCGACCACCUGGACUGAUACUGACACUGAGGUGCGAAAGCGUGGGGAGCAAACAGGAUUAGAUACCCUAGUAGUCC